UACAGAGGGUGCAAGCGUUAAUCGGAAUUACUGGGCGUAAAGCGAGCGUAGUCGGUUAUUUAAGUCGGGUGUGAAAGCCCCGGGCUCAACCUGGGAAUUGCAUUCGAUACUGGAUAGCUAGAGUUCGGCAGAGGGAAGCGGAAUUUCCGGUGUAGCGGUGAAAUGCGUAGAUAUCGGAAGGAACAUCAGUGGCGAAAGCGACUUCCUGGUCCAGCAUCGACGUUCAGGCACGAAAGCGUGGGGAGCAAACAGG
rnacentral:rRNA from 1 species